UACGUAGGGUGCGAGCGUUGUCCGGAAUUAUUGGGCGUAAAGGGCUCGUAGGCGGUUUGUCGCGUCGGGAGUGAAAUCCACUGGCUUAACUGGUGGCUUGCUUUCGAUACGGGCAGACUGGAGGUAUGCAGGGGAGAACGGAAUUCCUGGUGUAGCGGUGAAAUGCGCAGAUAUCAGGAAGAACACCCGUGGCGAAGGCGGCUCUCUGGGACGGUACUGACGCUGAGAAGCGAAAGCGUGGGGAGCAAACAGG
rnacentral:rRNA from 1 species